UCCUCUUUUUUAGCUCACCUGGCCCAAAGGGCCAAGUGAGCUUUUCUCAUCACUUGGCGUCCGUCGUCCGUCGUCGUCCGGCGUCGUCCGGCGUCGUCCGUCGUCGUCCGUCGUCGGCGUAAACUUUUUACAUUUUGAACUUCUUCUAGAGAACCACUGAAUGGAAUGAAACCAAACAUGGCAUGAAUGUUCCUUAUGAGGUGCUGACCAAGUGUUGUUACUUUGUAGCCGAUCCAUCAUCCAAGAUGGCCGCCAGCGGGGGACUUAGUUUAACAUAGGACCCUAUGGGAAAUGCAUACAAAUGACUUCUUUUAGAGAACCACUAUAUGGAAUGAAACCAAACAUGGCAUGAAUGUUUCUUAUGAGGUGCUGACCGAGUGUUGUUACUUUGAAGCCGAUCCAUAAUCCAAGAUGGCAGCCAGCGGGGGACUUAGUUUAACAUAGGACCCUAUGGGAAAUGCAUACAAAUGUCUUCUUUUAGAGAACCACUGAAUGGAAUGAAACAAAACAUAGCAUGAAUGUUCAUUAGGAGGUGCUGACCAAGUGUUGUUACUUUGUAGUUGAUCCAUCAUCCAAGAUGGCUGCCAGCAGGGGACUUAGUUUAACAUAGGACCCUAUGGGAAAUGCAUACAAAUGACUUCUUUUAGAGAACCACUGAAUGGAAUGAAACAAAACAUAGCAUGAAUGUUCCUUACAAGGUGCUGACCAAGUGUUGUUACUUUGUAGCCGAUCCAUCAUCCAAGAUGGCCGCCAGCGGGGGACUUAGUUUAACAUAGGACCCUAUGGGAAAUGCAUACAAAUGACUUCUUUUAGAGAACCACUGAAUGGAAUGAAACAAAACAUAGCAUGAAUGUUACUUACAAGGUGCUGACCAAGUGUUGUUACUUUGUAGCCGUUCCAUCAUCCAAAAUGGCCGCCAGUGAGGGACUUAGUUUAACAUAGGACCCUAUGAGAAAUACAUACAAAUGUCUUCUUUUAGAGAACCACUGAAUGGAAUGAAACCAAACAUGGCAAGAAUGUUCCUUAUGAGGUGCUGACCAAGUGUUGUUACUUUGAAGCCGAUCCAUCAUCCAAGAUGGCAACCAGCGGGGGAUUUAGUUUAACAUAGGAUCCUAUGGGAAAUACAUACAAAUGUUUUCUUUUAGAGAACCACUGAAUGCAAUGAAACCAAACAUGGCAUGAAUGUUCCUUAUGAGGUGCUGACCAAGUGUUGUUACUAUGAAGCCGAUCCAUAAUCUAAGAUGGCCGCCAGCGGAGGACUUAGUUUAACAUAGGACCCUAUGAGAAAUACGUACAAAUGUUUUCUUUUAGAGAACCAUUGAAUGGAAUGAAACCAAACAUUGCAUGCAUGUUCCUUUCGAGGUGCUGACCAAGUGUUGUUACUUUGAAGCUGAUCCUUCAUCUAUGAUGGCUGCCAGAUGGGGACAAUGUUUAACAAAGGACCCUAUGGACAAUACAUACAAAUGUCUUCUUUUAGAGAACCACAUACUGAAUGGAUUGAACCAAACAUGGCAUGAAUGUUCCUUAUGAGGUGCUGACUAAUUUUUGUUACUUUGAAGCUGAUCCUUCAUCCAUGAUGGCCGCCAAUGGGGGGACUUCCUUUAACAUAAGACCCUAUGGGAAAUACAUACAAAUGCUUCUUCUAGAGGUGCACUGAAUGGAAUGAAACCAAAACAUGGCAUAAAUGUUUCUUAUGAGGUGCUGAUUAAGUGUUGCUACUUUGUUGCUGAUUUACUGUUCAAGAUGGCCACCAGGAUUUUUUAUUAAAUUACAGGACCAAUAUUAAACCAAAUUUGGCCUCACUCAUUAUUAGGGUAUCUGUUAUGAUUUUAAUCUAUUUUUACAUGAUUUCCAAAACCAAAGUAGAAUCAGGUGAGCGACACAGGCUCUUGAGAGCCUCUAGUUUUUA